rnacentral:rRNA from 1 species
ACGGAAGGCAGCAGUGGGGAAUAUUGCACAAUGGGCGGAAGCCUGAUGCAGCGAUGCCGCGUGAGGGAAGAAGGUUUUCGGAUUGUAAACCUCUGUCCUCAGGGACGAUAAUGACGGUACCUGAGGAGGAAGCUCCGGCUAACUACGUGCCAGCAGCCGCGGUAAUACGUAGGGAGCGAGCGUUGUCCGGAAUUACUGGGUGUAAAGGGUGCGUAGGCGGGACGGCAAGUCAGAUGUGAAAUGUAUGGGCUUAACCCAUAACCUGCAUUUGAAACUGUUGUUCUUGAAUGAGGUAGAAGUAAGCGGAAUUCCUAGUGUAGCGGUGAAAUGCGUAGAUAUUAGGAGGAACAUCGGUGGCGAAGGCGGCUUACUGGGCCUUUACUGACGCUGAGGCACGAAAGCGUGGGGAGCAAACAGGAUUAGAUACCCUGGUA